AGAACAAAUUGAGGAUGCUGUGUAUUCUGAGUUAGAGGAAGUGAAUGAAAAUAACAAAAACGGUACGACAGUCAAAAACAAUCCAAAGACACUUUACUCUGUGAUCGAGUUACAAAAUUUCAAAGGUACACCUCCUGUAACAGAUGGCAAAGUUGUAUGAAUCUUUAUUAUUUUGAAAACCAACAAGAAACGAUUUUGCCAUCAGAAAGUUGUGAAAACUUUAGCCCUUCAAGAUAGCACGCCAUUCCUCAACAAGCACUUUUAUGAAGAUGUCAAGUUGCCAUUGCCUGUUCUGCCAGUAACGUCACCCUGAGUUUACCUGUAUGUGCAUUUACACUCUGUAUAUGAUUGUUAUGUUUAAAUGCUCCUGUUUGAAUAAGAAAAAUGACAGAAGUUGUACUGUAAUAUUCCAGUCCUUGCUAAGCAAUGUGUAAUUCUGCCAGAAAAUUAGUAACUUUUUUCUUCA